AGAAUCAACGCUGGCGGCGUGCCUAACACAUGCAAGUCGAACGAGAAAGUGGAGCAAUCCAUGAGUAAAGUGGCGACCGGGUGAGUAACACGUGACUAACCUACCUUCGAGUGGGGGAUAACCUCGGGAAACCGGGGCUAAUACCGCAUAAUAUCCACGGAUCAAAGGAGCAAUUCGCUUGAAGAGGGGUCGCGGCUGAUUAGUUAGUUGGCGGGGUAAUGGCCCACCAAGACAAUGAUCGGUAGCCGGCCUGAGAGGGCGCACGGCCACACUGGAACUGAAACACGGUCCAGACUCCUACGGGAGGCAGCAGUGGGAACUUGCGCAAUGGGGGAAACCCUGACGCAGCAACGCCGCGUGGAGGAUGAAGUCCCUUGGGACGUAAACUCCUUUCGACUGGGAAGAUAAUGACGGUACCAGUGGAAGAAGCCCCGGCUAACUUCGUGCCAGCAGCCGC
rnacentral:rRNA from 1 species